GACGAACGCUGGCGGCGUGCCUAAUACAUGCAAGUCGAGCGGAUGACGGAGGAGCUUGCUCCUCCUGAUUCAGCGGCGGACGGGUGAGUAACACGUGGGCAACCUGCCCUGUAGAUUAGGAUAACUCCGGGAAACCGGGGCUAAUACCGAAUAAUCCUUCGGACCUCAUGGUCCGAUGUUGAAAGACGGCAUCUCGCUGUCACUACAGGAUUGGCCCGCGGCGCAUUAGCUAGUUGGUGGAGUAACGGCUCACCAAGGCCACGAUGCGUAGCCGACCUGAGAGGGUGAUCGGCCACACUGGGACUGAGACACGGCCCAGACUCCUACGGGAGGCAGCAGUAGGGAAUCUUCCACAAUGGACGAAAGUCUGAUGGAGCAACGCCGCGUGAGUGAGGAAGGUUCUCGGAUCGUAAAACUCUGUUGUGAGGGAAGAACAAGUACCGGAGUAACUGCCGGUGCCUUGACGGUACCUCAUUAGAAAGCCACGGCUAACUACGUGCCAGCCGCCGCGGUAAUAC
rnacentral:rRNA from 1 species